rnacentral:miRNA from 1 species
GAGGUGGGACGAUUGAUUGAGCCCAGGAGGUUGAGGCUGCAGUGAGCUGUGAUUGAGCCACUGCACUCCAGCCUGAGUGACAGAGCAAGACCCUGUCUC